CCAUGCUCUUCGAACUUGGAUUUUAUUCAAAAAGAAACAAAUGUUUCAAUUAAUAAUGCAAGCAGACAUAAAAUUAUAACUACACAAAAUGAAAAAUGAUAAUGUUAUGCCGAUAUAUGAAAAGAAUGAAGAAGGACACACAACUAUCAAAUGAACACUUUGAAAACAUCUCUGAUGUAAAAGAUGACAUACAAAAAAUUUUGCGUAUGCAAGCAACAGCAAAUAUUACUCUAAAUGAUAUACAACAUUUAUUAAAAAUAGAAACUGCUAUUAAACGUUGCGCGUUAAGUCCUGUCAACAUUAAUGAUGACCUUAUAGCACCAUUUUUACCAUUAAGAACAAUUGAUGCAAUCAAGGAGUUUGAUACAUUAUUAAAAACAUCAGAUGAAGCUGUAAAACAAUUUCAAAAGUUUUUGUCAAAAACUGGUGGAAAAAAUACUAGGGACAAUAUUCACCGCACCCUAAAAAAGACAUUAACAAAUAAAUAUUCUAUGAAAUGUUCCUGGAAAAGAUUGCAAAAUAAUUUUAUAAUUUCAAACUUACAUUUAAUAAAAAUUAUUGAAAAAGACAUAAUAUCAUGUUAUGUUACGUGUACGGAGACAGAAUUUGAAAACAUAGUUGCAGAGUGGUUGCUUUGCAACACAACGAAACAAGAGAGACAUAGCAAAGGAGAAUGUUGAGCAGGAUGUCGAUGCUGAAUGACAUGGCAAUAAAAAAUAUAAACAGUGUCUAAAUAAUAUAUAUGGAUUUUAUUAAAAAAAUAUAAUGUACCGCGAUAUUGUUUAGAUUUACGUUUUUUUAGAUGACUAUAUAAAGAGUGCCUAAAUAAUACAUAUAUUUUAUAAAAAAAUAUAAUGUACCGUGACAUUGAUUGUAUUACUACACUGAUUAUAUUACUACUGAUUGUAUUACUCAUCGAGUUAUGUAUUUUAUAGAUUUACGAUAGGAUAUUUUUAUUUACAUAAAUUUAACCAAAAACAAUUAUAAGAAGGCGCCUUUAUAUAAAAAUUUAUAGUAUAUAAUAAUGU